UGAGGAAUAUUGGUCAAUGGGCGCGAGCCUGAACCAGCCAUCCCGCGUGCAGGAAGACGGCCCUAUGGGUUGUAAACUGCUUUUGUGCAGGAAGAACGUCCUGAUCGUGAUCGGGAGUGACGGUACUGCAUGAAUAAGCACCGGCUAACUCCGUGCCAGCAGCCGCGGUAAUACGGAGGGUGCAAGCGUUAUCCGGAUGUAUUGGGUUGAAAGGGUGCGUAGGCGGUAGAAUAAGUCAGUGGUGAAAAGCUGCAGCGCAACUGUAGUCCUGCCAUUGAAACUG
rnacentral:rRNA from 1 species